UACUAAGUAGAUGCAAUUGAAAACCACAUCUUCCAAGAUGUAUUCAUAUCUUAAAGUUCAGUCCUUGAAGAGGAAAUAAACAUAGUAAAAUAUUUUCAUCAUCUGCAGUAAGAACAACAGACACCUGAUAGUCCAUACAAUUUAAUAAUGGGUUUAUUACAUCUGAAUCCAUCAGGAGCACAAUAUCCUUUCUAGCAAUUCUUGCAACUCUCCGCUCUUGUAUGCUUCUACAACAAUGUCACAGCCACCAAAGAACUCUCCAUCAAUGUAGAGUUGUGGAAAGGUUGGCCAACUG
rnacentral:misc_RNA from 1 species